GCCGCCGUAGCACAAAGGUAGUGCGUUGUCUUCCUAAAUUUCUCUCGUUAGGCAAAGGCUGUGGGUUCGAGUCCCAUCGGCGGUU